AUGGCAGACUGCCAGGAUAUACCAGUGGAAAAGCUCACUCUAAAGAGUUGGGCAACGUGGUCCAGGAGAAUAAGGGGAUGGUUCUUGGUUGAAGGGCUCUGGGAAGCAAACCAGUGGGAGCCAAAAGAAACACCCCUUAGCCGGCCAGCAGCUGGAGCAGGUGAAGCAAGCUGUGGGGCUGUGUUGGCUGAAGAUAGCCAGAGGCUGCAACAAGAGCUGAAUAUGCUCAAAGCAUGCGUUGAUGCGUCACUGGGGCCUCAGUUGGAGGGCGUAACGACAGCGUGGGCUGCCUGGAAUUUGCUGAAAGGCUUGUGUGAGGCGUCAGCGAAAGGCCAGAGCCCUGGAGGAAGCCCUGGAGAGGCAGAAGGAUGCCCAGAAAGCCCAAUGGGGGCUGGGACAGUGUUGGGAAGCUGUUGUAAUGCUUCUACACGUCUGUGUGAUGGACUGAGUCCUGGAAAGGCUGGAUUGGCAGGCCCUGUUCCCGAUGUAUUGGCCUCUAGGAGCGCUAGUGAGCAGGUCGGGGGGGCGAAGAGUUCCAAAGGCAAGUUUAAAGGACUUUCCCUUUGUGCUGAAGCGGAGAGCAGCUUCAGGGGGGGCGAGGCUGGUGGGAGGCGCCGUUCCAGAAGGAGGAGGGCCAAGCCAGCUGGGAGCCCCGGGCAGUGUUUUUCCACUGGAGUUCGUCACACGGCGCAACAUCUGAGUGGCAAGUGCCCCCACCGGUGCAGAGAGCCGAGGCAGGAUGUUGUGAAGGACAUUUCCCAUGGGAAUCAGGCGGGUUUCCAUGGCAACAGGCCUGGGAAGACAGGCAGGCGUGGAACUGAGCCAGGUGGCCGUGGUAAACAGCAGGGAGAAGAGUCUUAUCAAGUCUCGGCGAGUAUGGCAGUGUUUGAAGACGGCCGAGUGGAAAAUUCCGAGAUGGCCUUUGUAAUAGACUCUGCAGCUAACCGCAACAUGGUUCCAGAGACCCCUGCAGUUGAGAGGUGGAAUUGCACGGCAGUUCCGAAGGGACAGACUAUUAAGUUUGCAAAUGGACAGAAAACUAGAGUUUCCACGUGUACUAAUGCCUAUCUUUCUGUUUUACAGGAGACGGUGGAUUUAUGUAUUGUUCCAGAGAUUCAACAUUGUUUGUUAUCUGUGCCUUAUUUGUUAAGUAAGGGGUUCAAAGUUUGUUUUGAAAACGAUGUCUGCACGAUCUCCAAAGGGGGGAGGUUACUGGCCAAAGUGCGGAAGGGACAGAAUGAUCUUUUCAUUCUUAAAACGUCUCUUGGAGGUGAGGGGAAGGUUGAGAAAGCACAAGCGUUGCGUGCUACAGUUCCCAACCAGUGUGCUACAAUUCCCGCUCAUAAUGUUACAUGUGCAUGCGUAUGGCAUCAGAGAACGAUUCACAAUCCUUUAGAGGAUUUGCAGGUGUUACCUGAGGUUGUUACAGGUUGUAAGAUUAAAAAUUGUCAAAGUGCCAUUAAUUGUGAAACCUGCAGGCUAGCAAAGGUAAAAGGAUGCAGUUAUCCAAAGGUGGAGAGGGUAACCAUGAGACCUUUUGAGCUGGUGCACAUAGAUUUGUGGGGUCCUGUGAGGGAACCGAGUCUGGGAGGUGCAAGGUUUCUGCUCUCGAUACAGGAUAAUUUUACGCAGAAUACCUGGACCCAUGGUCUCAAAUCCAAGGAUGAUGCAGCACAGCUGAUCAAAAGGUGGAUUGAGGAGGUGGAACAAAGGUUUUCCACCAGAGUGCAAGCGGUGACCAGUGAUAGCGGAGCCCAGUCAACAGGUUCUGCUUUGCAGAAGUUCUUUCGCAAGAAAGGGAUACGUCACUCAGUGACUUCACCCAAUCAGUGGGGGGUGGCAGGGCUGAGACGCCAGGCUCUAGUUCAGGCUGCACAGGUGUUGCUGAAAGAUUCUGAGUUACCUCCAAGGUUUUGGCUGGAGGCAAUCAAGUAUGUGAGCUUCACCUGGAAUCGUACCUACAAUACGCUAGUAGGUGACACACCCUUUAGAUUGUUGCAUGGCAGGAAACCCCAGAUUCAUUUUUUGCGUAUGUUUGGUGCAAGUGCAUCUGUGCCGGUACCUACUGCUUUGCAGGGGCCAGAUGGAUCCAAGUUCCGGAAAAUGAUCUUCUGUGGGUAUGAGCCAGCAGCGAGUGCAUGGAGGUUCGCAUUUCCAUCAGGUGAUCAGAGUAAGUUACUGAUCAGUAAACACGCUGAGUUCUUUGAGCAGAGUGAGAAGCCAAAGAUUGUUUUCCAGCGUGAUCUCUCAGAUUGUCUCUCUGACCCAGAGGACAGUUGUGAUGAGGAGGAAGGAGAGGCUGAGCCUGCUGAUGAGGACCAGGUCCAGGAUCAGGGUUCAGAAUCCGAUGAUGAUGAUCAGAUCAUUGACCAAAGUCAGGAGCAAAGUCAGGAACAGGAGGAGGUAUCUGUAGUUUCUCCACAAGACGUUAAGAGAGCACCCAAAAGCGAGCCUAGUUCUCCUGUGAGUGUGAUGGAAAGGAUUCGAAGACGCUUUAAGUCAGAAGGGGAAUCCCGUGAUGCAGAGGUCACACCUGCUGGUGACGGUGAGCCAGAGGAAACAUCUGUGUUUGUGCCUAGGAGGUCCAGUCGCACAACAAAGGGUAUUCCGCCUGAAAGGUACCAAGCCAUAGGUGCGUGGGUAAAUUUCGCACAGUGCGUUUCUGAAGAUUGUGAGGUGGUUCCACAAAUGCCAAACAGGUCUGCCAAGGGAGGGCGUGAGGCAUUGGGGGUGGGAUUGAUCUCACAAGGUGUUACUGAAGGGGUUCAACAGGUGCCUGGGAAAAAUGCCGGAAAGGGGCACAAGGCAAAGGGAAAGGUGUUGAACUCAGAAGAGUCUUGUCAGAAUGGGCGGCAAAGGGGGGUGUUGGGAUUGGAACUUAACAGGUUAAGUUUUUCCCAUGGUGCCACACCAUUCUGA
rnacentral:lncRNA from 1 species